rnacentral:lncRNA from 1 species
UGCCUUCUGCCAGAAACCCCAGCCUGGGAGUUGCAAGUAGGAAUCCACACGGAGAUGGUAAUGAAAACAGAGACCCACAACUGGACAACAUGAAGAGUGCUCAACCUUCAAUGGUCAGAAAACAAAGUUCUCUGAUUGUGUCGGCUUAGGAAACAGGGCAGCUAGGAAGCCUUCUUGGACUAAGGAUGGGUUGAAACACGGAGAGACCGGAGAGAAGAUAGAAGCCACAAAAAGAAACUGGAGAACUGGUGAAGGGGAACCCAGAAGGAACUAAGAACAGCAAAUCUGUUUCCCUCAAGAUGCUUGGGAG